AAAGACUUAGUCCUAACCUUACUGUUAGUU
rnacentral:rRNA from 1 species